CCUACGGGUGGCAGCAGUGAGGAAUAUUGGUCAAUGGACGAGAGUCUGAACCAGCCAAGUAGCGUGAAGGAUGACUGCUCUAUGGGUUGUAAACUGCUUUUAUACAGGAAUAAAAGGAGGCACGUGUGCCUUUUUGCAAGUACUUUAUGAAUAAGGAUCGGCUAACUCCGUGCCAGCAGCCGCGGUAAUACGGAGGAUUCGAGCGUUAUCCGGAUUUAUUGGGUUUAAAGGGAGCGUAGAUGGGUUGUUAAGUCAGUUGUGAAAGUUUGCGGCUCAACCGUAGAAUUGCCAUUGAUACUGUCAGUCUUGAGUACAGUUGAGGUAGGCGGAAUUCGUGGUGUAGCGGUGAAAUGCUUAGAUAUCACGCAGAACCCCGAUUGCGAAGGCAGCUUACUAAGCUGUGUCUGACAUUGAUGCUCGAAAGUGUGGGUAUCAAACAGGAUUAGAUACCCUGGUAGUC
rnacentral:rRNA from 1 species